AAUUUAAAUACAAUUCAAUAGCAAACAUUGAAAAAACUAUGACAGUGUAUGUUUUUUUUUUAAUUUGAUGCAAGACAUUCAGUGUCGGGUGAUUGCAGGGAGAUAGGUGCCUGUCUUCAGGUGCAGUGUCUUGUAUGCUGUGGUCAGUCUAAAUUAAUUGAGUCUUGAUGUGUUCCAUUCAGUAGACCUGUGGAAAUAUACUGCAAAGCAUAUACUUGUUUUAAAAACAUGAUUACUAACACCAUUCAAAACAAGACCUGUUUAGUUGAAAGCCCACUCACCACGUCAAGGUACAGGUUAUGGGUGGGGUGUUAGUGAGACAGGACAAGACAAGACAAGACAAGGUGUAGGAGCCAUUUCUAUCCACCUUUUAGUUAGGUUUAUUUUAAUGUUACUUAUUUUAGCCACUUGGGCGAGUAUUGCACUGGGUGUGGCUCGUCACAGGAAAUUGGGUAUAUCUACAGGUGUGAUUACUCAAUUAGGGAAAGGUGUGGAUGGCGGGGAACACACGCCGUCCACACUGAGGCUUAUAGGAUAGCCUCCACACAAGGUUAAUGAAAAAGAAAAGGAUGCUUAGAUACUUUUAAAUAACAAAUGUGUAUAACAGACAUAUGUGACAGACAUACAAACUUCACAGGGACAUACAUAGAACAUGGUAUACAUAUAACAUACAUUUAAAGGGGAAAAUGGAGAGAGAACCAAACUUACCUGUCCCCUUACAAAAAACAGUAAAUACAACCUGUGACGCACGUCUAACCCCAGGUGUGCGCUGACAGAUUGCACGCCGCACUUGGGAACCGUAAAGGACUUCCUACAAGCGCAACGCACGCACUGCUCGCUGACCACACCUGUAAGACAGUAAAAACAAGGCACAUCUUUCUAACCCCAGGUGUGCGCUAACCACACCUGUAAGACAAAGUCUAACCCAUGUGACCGGUGACAGAAGCAAGGCAUGUCUAACUCCAAGUGACUGGCAUUGACUAGGGAACGCCAGCAGCAGGGCACAACUUUACCUUAUCUAACCGAACCUGUAAAGCUACAGUACGACGCAUUUAACCCCAGGUGUCCGCUGACCGAACCUAUAAAGCUACAGUACAACGCAUUUAACCCCAGGUGUCCGCUGACCAAACCUGUAAAGCUUUAUUUUAACGCAGACCAACGAGACGGGGCAGUAGCACCACGCCAUCUGGCUUAAUGCCAUUGAUACAGCUUAAAGUUCUUUCCGUAACACAACUAUGUGCUGUCCAGUCACGACACCACAACGUGUAUGCGUCUGUGGUAAGGGCGUGGAACACGGCUUUGUCCUGUGAAAACAAAAAAACCCAGAGUAAACUUCCACAAAACAAUAACAGAUACUGGUAGGUUGUCAGACUAGAGAGAAAAUAGAAACUACUUACAGUGGAACGUUGUUUGUGAUCUGCAGCAAUCACUGCAACGCACGUAUUCACAAUCUACAAGAAAGAAAAAGAAAUUUGAUGACAACAUGAUAGGAAAAAAGUAAAAUAAAAAUGUAUUUCUAAGUUUUACUUACAUCAUCGGUCAGCCAGUUGAACUCUGGGCCUGCCAGACUGUCUAAGUCGCGAAACGUGGCACGACAACUUCCAAUGCUGAUCAAGACCGCGUCUUUGUCCACAUCAUUGCGGAUCUGUUGCGUCAGUACCUGAUGGAUUGGAAGCAUGUGUACAGAAGUUACACAUAAUGUCCACCCCAAACUACUACUAAAUGGAAAAGACGGUUCACAUGGUAGACUAUAGACCAUUUUACCUUUGCAGCAAAAGGCACAGGAAACUUCUCCUCCAAAGUUAGAGACUACAUACAGAAAAACAGUGAAUGAUUUAAAUAACCAACAGAUCAAAAGAAGAAAGCAGAAGAAACUAAUACAUUGAAACGAACACUAAUACAUUUUAGAAAAUGUACCUCGUCCUCUGAACUUAUGGAGACAGUAGGAAUAUCUGAAAUUGGGAAAAACACACACACACAAACACAAACCAUUCAGCAUCUACUAUACAUAGACAUCUAUGUAUGUA
ensembl:lncRNA